rnacentral:rRNA from 1 species
AGCGAACGCUGGCGGCAGGCCUAACACAUGCAAGUCGAACGAACUCUUCGGAGUUAGUGGCGGACGGGUGAGUAACACGUGGAACGUGCCUUUAGGUUCGGAAUAACUCAGGGAAACUUGUGCUAAUACCGAAUGUGCCCUUCGGGGGAAAGAUUUAUCGCCUUUAGAGCGGCCCGCGUCUGAUUAGCUAGUUGGUGAGGUAAAGGCUCACCAAGGCUACGAUCAGUAGCUGGUCUGAGAGGAUGACCAGCCACAUUGGGACUGAGACACGGCCCAAACUCCUACGGGAGGCAGCAGUGGGGAAUCUUGCGCAAUGGGCGAAAGCCUGACGCAGCCAUGCCGCGUGGAUGAUGAAGGUCUUAGGAUUGUAAAAUCCUUUCACCGGUGAAGAUAAUGACUGUAGCCGGAGAAGAAGCCCCGGCUAACUUCGUGCCAGCCGCCGCAGUAAAAC